GGCAUCGGGAUUGAAGCUUGCUUCAAUUGCCGGCGACCGGCGCACGGGUGCGUAACGCGUAUGUAACCUACCUAUAACAGGGGCAUAACACUGAGAAAUUGGUACUAAUUCCCCAUAAUAUUCGGAGAGGCAUCUCUCCGGGUUGAAAACUCCGGUGGUUAUAGAUGGACAUGCGUUGUAUUAGCUAGUUGGUGAGGUAACGGCUCACCAAGGCAACGAUACAUAGGGGGACUGAGAGGUUAACCCCCCACACUGGUACUGAGACACGGACCAGACUCCUACGGGAGGCAGCAGUGAGGAAUAUUGGUCAAUGGACGCAAGUCUGAACCAGCCAUGCCGCGUGCAGGAAGACGGCUCUAUGAGUUGUAAACUGCUUUUGUACGAGGGUAAACUCACCUACGUGUAGGUGACUGAAAGUAUCGUACGAAUAAGGAUCGGCUAACUCCGUGCCAGCAGCCGCGGUAAUACGGAGGAUUCAAGCGUUAUCCGGAUUUAUUGGGUUUAAAGGGUGCGUAGGCGGUUUGAUAAGUUAGAGGUGAAAUCCCGGGGCUUAACUCCGGAACUGCCUCUAAUACUGUUAGACUAGAGAGUAGUUGCGGUAGGCGGAAUGUAUGGUGUAGCGGUGAAAUGCUUAGAGAUCAUACAGAACACCGAUUGCGAAGGCAGCUUACCAAACUAUAUCUGACGUUGAGGCACGAAAGCGUGGGGAGCAAACAGGAUUAG
rnacentral:rRNA from 1 species